UAUUCUCGGAGCUGAGGUAUAUGAAGAAUGGCCUUUUG
rnacentral:sRNA from 1 species